GACGGGGGGUCCUAGCGUUGUUCGGAAUCAUUGGGCGUAAAGCGUGUGCAGGUGGCUUUGUAAGUCAGAUGUGAAAGCCCCGGGCUCAACUCGGGAAGUGCAUUUGAAACUACAAAACUUGAAUAUGGAAGAGGGUCGUGGAAUUCCUGGUGUAGUGGUGAAAUACGUAGAUAUCAGGAGGAACACCGGUGGCGAAGGCGGCGACCUGGUCCAAUAUUGACACUCAUACACGAAAGCGUGGGGAUCAAACAGG
rnacentral:rRNA from 1 species